UACAGAGACUGCAAGCGUUAUUCGGAUUCACUGGGCGUAAAGGGUGCGCAGGCGGUCGGGUGUGUCAGAUGUGAAAUCCCGAGGCUCGACCUCGGAACUGCGUCUGAAACUACUCGACUAGAGUACUGGAGAGGGUAACGGAAUUCACGGUGUAGCAGUGAAAUGCGUAGAUAUCGUGAGGAACACCAGAGGCGAAGGCGGUUACCUGGACAGUUACUGACGCUCAGGCACGAAAGCAUGGGGAGCAAAAGGG
rnacentral:rRNA from 1 species